UAAUGGUGUUGAAGGCCUGCACACCAAAGUGACCGAGUUUAUAAGGGACAAGGAUUGUCCUGUCUGUGGUCCUGGAGUUCUUAUUGAGCUGGAUACUUCAAUCACUCUACAAAAGUUUAUGGAACUUCUUGGAGAAUACCCUAAGCUGCUUAUUUCGAAACCAAGUAUUUCAUACCUAGGAGAGAAUUUGUAUAUGCAAGCACCUCCUGUACUGGAAGAGAUGACUCGGUCAAACUUGACCCAACCUCUGUUCAACCUCAUGGGUAAAGUCCCAAAGGGAGUUGUCAAUGUCAGCGGCGUGACCAAGAAGGAUGACAAGAAAACAUCAUGCACGCGGAAACUACGAGUUGUGUUCAAGGGAAUUGAUGGAGUCACAGAUAUGGAUAUGGCUAUUGGGGCUUGAUAUUCUUCAACACCUGAUCUUAAUUGAAAUUUUACCCUAGUUAUUUUUUGGUGAAGUUCCAGAGCAUUAACUGCUGUGACAACCUUGGGAGGUGACUUGGGAUUUCUUUUGUGUGUGUUGUUAUAGUGUUUACAAGUUAUUGUAAGGACAACAUGUUGGUGCCUUCAGAAAGUUGGGAGAGGAAAAUAUUUUUGAUAUAUUGAGAGAUAUAUGGGGAUCAUUGUCUUUGGUA